rnacentral:tRNA from 1 species
AAGGAUUUAAGUUAUUUAAACUUUUAACCUUCAAAGUUAAAAAAAGAGAUUUUUCUAAGCCUUA